UAAAUUUUUGUGUGGUAUUAUUUAUCUAAAUGAUUAAUAAUUAUUAGCAGUUUUUAGUUUUGUUAUUUAAGGAAUCUUAGAUUCAGUUAAUUAUUUAGGAAUGCAAAAAGUUGUGCCAGCAUGUGCGGUUAUACUUCUGUUUCAAGUUAAAUAUAUAGAUUUUUAUUAAUUUUUGUUGUUUUGAAUUUAUUUUUGUUAUUUUUAGGUGAAAUUUUAAUUUUAUUUAUUAGUUUUGGUUAUGGAUUAUAUUAAAGCUGAUUUAUAAACUAGGAUUAGAUACCCUAUUAUUUCAGUUGUAAUUUAUUUAAAUCUUAUUAUUAUUAGUUAUAUCUUUAAAAUAAAAGGGUUUGGCGGUAAUUUAAUCUUUUCAGAGGAACCUGUUCUGUAAUUGAUAAUCCACGUUUUAUUUUACUUUAAUUUUGUUUGUAUACCUCUGUCAUUGAAUAUCUUAUUAGGGUAUUUUCUUAUAUUAUUAUGUAAUUAAUGUCAAGUCAAGGUGCAGCUUUAUUAAAGAUUGAAAUGGGUUACAUUUAACGUUUAUUUAUUGAAUUAUUUGAUUUGUAUUUUUUAUGAAAUAGGAUUUGAAAGUAAUGUUAAUUAUAUAAUUAGCUUGAUUUUGGCUCUAAAUUAUGUACAUAUCGCCCGUCACUCUCAUCUUUAAAAUGGGAUAAGUCGUAACAAAGUAAUUUUAUCGGAAGAUGAGGUUGGAAUAUU
rnacentral:ncRNA from 1 species